rnacentral:rRNA from 1 species
UACGGAGGGUGCAAGCGUUGUCCGGAUUUAUUGGGUUUAAAGGGUGCGUAGGCGGCCUUGUAAGUCAGUGGUGAAAGCCCAUAGCUCAACUAUGGAACUGCCAUUGAUACUGCAAGGCUUGAGUACAGACGAGGUUGGCGGAAUGGAUGGUGUAGCGGUGAAAUGCAUAGAUACCAUCCAGAACUCCGAUUGCGUAGGCAGCUAACUAGGCUGUAACUGACGCUGAGGCACGAAAGCGUGGGGAUCAAACAGG